rnacentral:rRNA from 1 species
AGUGAACGCUGGCGGUAGACCUAACACAUGCAAGUCGAACGGCAGCACAGUAAGAGCUUGCUCUUACGGGUGGCGAGUGGCGGACGGGUGAGGAAUACAUCGGAAUCUACUUUUUCGUGGGGGAUAACGUAGGGAAACUUACGCUAAUACCGCAUACGACCUACGGGUGAAAGCAGGGGAUCUUCGGACCUUGCGCGAUUGAAUGAGCCGAUGUCGGAUUAGCUAGUUGGCGGGGGAAAGGCCCACCAAGGCGACGAUCCGUAGCUGGUCUGAGAGGAUGAUCAGCCACACUGGAACUGAGACACGGUCCAGACUCCUACGGGAGGCAGCAGUGGGGAAUAUUGGACAAUGGGCGCAAGCCUGAUCCAGCCAUACCGCGUGGGUGAAGAAGGCCUUCGGGUUGUAAAGCCCUUUUGUUGGGAAAGAAAGGCAGCAGGUUAAUACCCCGCUGUUCUGACGGUACCCAAAGAAUAAGCACCGGCUAACUUCGUG